GUAGGGAAUAUUGGGCAAUGGAUGCAAGUCUGACCCAGCCAUCCCGCGUGCCGGAAGAAGGCCCUCAGGGUUGUAAACGGCUUUUGACGGUGAAGAAUCGACAGGAUGCGUCCUGUUUUGACGGUAGCCGUUGAAUAAGCACCGGCUAACUCCGUGCCAGCAGCCGCGGUAAUACGGAGGGUGCGAGCGUUGUCCGGAUUUAUUGGGUUUAAAGGGUGCGUAGGCUGGAAGGUCAGUCAGCGGUUAAAAGCUGUCGCUUAACGAUAGUCUUGCCGCAGAUACUUCCGUUCUUGGAUGAGGAGGAGGCCACUGGAACGGAUGGUGUAGCGGUGAAAUGCAUAGAUAUCAUCCAGAACACCGAUUGCGAAGGCAGGUGGCUGUACCUUAAUCGACGCUGAUGCACGAAAGCAUGGGGAGCAAACAGGAUUAGAAACCCGGGUAGUCC
rnacentral:rRNA from 1 species